UUUUCAGGUUUCUGGGCGCUCCCAAAUCCAGGACGAGCCCCCAAAAUGUAAGACUCCCUUUCGGGGACCCCCACUCUAGUCUCGGGAGUGUGAGAGCACCCAAAGAAACACGAGGACCC
rnacentral:pre_miRNA from 7 species